rnacentral:rRNA from 1 species
GCAAGAUUAAAACUCAAAGGAAUAGACGGGGACCCGCACAAGUGGUGGAGCAUGUGGUUUAAUUCGAAGAUACGCGAAGAACCUUACCUAGCCUUGACAUUGAUUGAAUAGACCAGAGAUGGACUAGUGCCCUUCGGGGAACAUGAAAACAGGUGCUGCACGGCUGUCGUCAGCUCGUGUCGUGAGAUGUUGGGUUAAGUCCCGCAACGAGCGCAACCCUCGUCGUUAGUUGCUAACAGGUUAAGCUGAGCACUCUAGCGAGACUGCCUUCGCAAGAAGGAGGAAGGUGAGGACGACGUCAAGUCGUCAUGGCCCUUAUGGCUAGGGCUACACACGUGCUACAAUGGGGCGUACAGAGUGUUGCGAUACCGCGAGGUGGAGCCAAUCACUUAAAGCGUCUCUCAGUUCGGAUUGGAGUCUGCAACUCGACUCCAUGAAGCUGGAAUCACUAGUAAUCGUAGAUCAGCAAUGCUACGGUGAAUACGUUCCCGGGUCUUGUACUCACCGCCCGUCACACCAUGGGAGUUGAUUUCACCCGAAAUUGGGAAGCUAACCUUCGGGAGGCUACCACUUACGGUGGAAUUAGCGACUGGGGUGAAGUCGUAACAAGGUA